AACGAACGCUGGCGGCAGGCCUAACACAUGCAAGUCGAACGCUCGUAGCAAUACGAGAGUGGCAGACGGGUGAGUAACACGUGGGAACCUUCCCUAUGGUUCGGAAUAGCUCAGGGAAACUUGGGGUAAUACCGGAUAAGCCCUUCGGGGAAAGAUUUAUCGCCAUUGGAUGGGCCCGCGUAGGAUUAGCUAGUUGGUGAGGUAAAGGCUCACCAAGGCGACGAUCCUUAGCUGGUCUGAGAGGAUGAUCAGCCACACUGGGACUGAGACACGGCCCAGACUCCUACGGGAGGCAGCAGUGGGGAAUAUUGGACAAUGGGCGCAAGCCUGAUCCAGCCAUGCCGCGUGAGUGACGAAGGUCUUCGGAUU
rnacentral:rRNA from 1 species